UCAGGAAAGUNUGGAGUAAAAGGCUAUGGCUCAACCAUAGUGUGCUCUGGAAACUGUNUGACUUGAGUGCAGAAGGGGAGAGUGGAAUUCCAUGUGUAGCGGUGAAAUGCGUAGAUAUAUGGAGGAACACCAGUGGCGAAAGCGGCUCUCUGGUCUGUCACUGACGCUGAGGCUCGAAAGCGUGGGUAGCGAACAGGAUUAGAUACCCUGGUAGUCCACGCCGUAAACGAUGAGUGCUAGGUGUUAGGCCCUUUCCGGGGCUUAGUGCCGGAGCUAACGCAAUAAGCACUCCGCCUGGGGAGUACGACCGCAAGGUCGAAACUCAAAGGAAUUGACGGGGGCCCGCACAAGCGGUGGAGCAUGUGGUUUAAUUCGAAGCAACGCGAAGAACCUUACCAGGUCUUGACAUCCCGAUGCUAUUCUUAGAGAUAGGAAGUUACUUCGGUACAUCGGAGACAGGUGGUGCAUGGUUGUCGUCAGCUCGUGUCGUGAGAUGUUGGGUUAAGUCCCGCAACGAGCGCAACCCUUAUUGUUAGUUGCCAUCAUUAAGUUGGGCACUCUAGCGAGACUGCCGGUAAUAAACCGGAGGAAGGUGGGGAUGACGUCAAAUCAUCAUGCCCCUUAUGACCUGGGCUACACACGUGCUACAAUGGUCGGUACAACGAGUUGCGAGCCGGUGACGGCAAGCUAAUCUCUGAAAGCCGAUCUCAGUUCGGAUUGGAGGCUGCAACUCGCCUCCAUGAAGUCGGAAUCGCUAGUAAUCGCGGAUCAGCACGCCGCGGUGAAUACGUUCCCGGGCCUUGUACACACCGCCCGUCACACCACGAGAGUUUGUAACACCCGAAGUCGGUGAGGUAACCUUUUAGGGGCCAGCCGC
rnacentral:rRNA from 1 species